UGAUAAAGUUCGCAUAAGGAGGAAAUAGUUACCUUGAAACAACAUGUCGGGCAUCUGAACUUUAUCGUUGAACAAGUCGUCAAAGAUCAUAGCACUCAAAUUGUUUUCUUCGAGAAUGAGAGGAGUUGUCAUUUCGUCGAGAAAAGGUUAGUGUGAAUUAGGGUUUAGUUAUUUUUAUUUAUUUUAGAACCCUUGGGUUGAAAUUACCAAAAGGGCAAGAGUAUAUGUUGAUAGAUCCACUACUGAAAUUAGCUUUUUUUAGGUAGAAAUUAGCCCAAUGUUGGCAAUAUAUUUUCUUCGAAGAAAAUAUAUUUAAUAUUAUUUUCUUAUUCUGUUGAUGGUAAAAAGGGAAAUUAUAUUUCAUUCACUCACACUUAAGAGAAGGCAAUGUUAAAACAUAGGUAAAAUGUUUUGGAAUGCAACGGUGAUGCAUGUGAAUUGGGAAGUCUAUUUAUAUACUCUCUCCGUCCUAAAUUGUACGUCACUUUAGGAAGAAAAAAAAUUGUCCCAAAUUGUAUGUCAUUUUACAAUACCAAUGAAACAUUAAUGUUACUUUUU
rnacentral:lncRNA from 1 species